rnacentral:lncRNA from 1 species
GUUCAGAGCCAAGGUGUGCAUUCAACUUCAGGUCCAUGGGGAACAGGCGGUAUUGGUCUUUGUUCAGAUUACUAUUUGGAAGCAGGGUGUCUGUGGUGAGUGUGUUAACCUUAGGAGAAAGCGGAGGGUUGAUGAGAUUGACUACUUUAAGGUUACCAGGAGCCAUGGGUUGCAGCUCUUCAUCAUCUCACUGCCAUUCUAGCCACCGACUUACGAUCAGCAACAACCUAGAUCUGGG